UAUUAAAAUUUCAUCCAUUGCUAUUGUUAAUAACUAGCAUGACUAAUAGAAUAACCAAACAGUGACACCUGGUGUGACACGUGUACCUCAUGCUAACAUACAGGGACCAAUUUCUAACAGUAGAAAUGGAUGAAAUUUUUAACA
rfam:Gossypium raimondii Chr01_contig_307, whole genome shotgun sequence.